GGCGGGAGUGGGGUGGUGUACUCCUGUAAUUCGACUACUCGGAGGUUAGGUAUGGAGGAUGUUUUAGGGGAGGGGGGUUAUGGGAUUGAAUUUCCCACGAUGACUGGGCGUCCGCUAGGGGUAAAUGAGUAUGCCUCGGGGGAGCCCGAGAUAGCCAGGUUGAGUCUGAAAAGGGGAAAAUAAUCAGCCCCCAAAAAUUACCGAAUUGAGAAUCAUGGGUUCAAAUCCUGAGAGUUUAAUUUUAUCUCGUCCAAACAAGUACAGACCUGUACCUAC
rnacentral:SRP_RNA from 1 species